UAUAGUUUUCUGCUACCAAAAAGUAAGAUGAAUAAUACAACAAUGAAGAAUCCAUUGAGAAAAUAUAUUGGCCUAUUUCUUAUCAUGUAUGUAUUUAUCAAUGACUAGCAAUUGUUGUUUUUUUUAUCCAGAGUACUGGGAACUGGGAAUAUACUGAGCAGAGAUCCUAAGUUUCAGAUGAAAGUCAACAAAUAUGAACUUCAUCUUUCAACAUAAAAGGAAACCAGGUGGAUUUUGUUUUUGGAAACAGCCAACGGACAGCUGGAACAAAGUCUGGAACAAGGAUUGGAGUAAACAGUCUGUGAAACGCUUUUCUCAUGUACUAAAAAUGUUUGACAACAACUACCCUAAGGGAAUUACUCUAAGUCUCCUGAAAUCUUAAGGAAGUCAAAAAUAUUUUUAACAAACAAAAAGCUGUAUUAUAACAAUAAUAAUAGUUAAAGCUGAUAUUUUAUAUAGUGCUUUAACUAUAUGACUCUCAAAACAACACUAUAAGAUAAGUAUUAUUACUCCCAUUUAAUAGAAGCUCAGAAAGAGUAACUGACUCAUUUAUGGUCACAAAGGCAGUAUGGAAAUAAAAUUCAAACUCAGGUCUUUCCUGACUCCAAUUCUAGUACUCUUUCCAUUAUACCUUGUUGUCUAGAAGUAAAACUAUACCACAUUUUGCAUGUCAUUAGCCAAAUUUUCAGUGUAAAUGCUAAGAUUCUUGUUUCUUGUAUUAAAUAACUCCCACAAGUCUAAACGUAAUCAUAAAAAAGAUAACAUUUCUACUUUUAGA